GAGAGUAAAAUUAAAGGUGAAACACUAAUUCCUUGUAAUUUGUUGUAUUUUUUUCUUGAAAAGACACCACAUAGAAUAUAGAAAUAAAAUAUUGGCUUUGGUCUUGACCUGCGCUCCUGCAUCAGGGCAUCACACCCUGACGGAGCCUGGGAACCAGCCUGUUAGCAGUUCGAAUCUUCGAAUCUGAUAAAUAAACGCUGACAGCGACUCACGCAAGUUUUCACUCAGCCAUCCUGCAGAGUCAGCAGAAGCCGGAGCAGAUUCCCAUCAGGUGGCUUGUGAUCGGAGUCUGAGCAGCCUCACACAGUCCCUCAUUUGUUUAAGAAACCACAAAGUGACACAUGAGAGUCUGCCAGGAGGUUACAGGUAAAACAGCCGCCAUGAAACAAAAACACAUGAAGCAGACGUUGAACCCCUGAGGGCAGACAGAGCGUAGGAGUGCUGGAAGAGGCAACGAUGGAGAGAAACUGUUAAACAGGGAGGAGACAGAUCAAGUGGAUCAUGUGACAUGAUCAAAAGCUCCAGAACAGCAGCUACUAAAUGGAUCUUGAGAUUGUGCUGUUUCAAAGGUCAACGACGAACUGAAGCUCAACUUUUAAGACAACGUCAAACUGCUCAGAAAAAAAGGAAAUUUGAACAUCUAUAAUUUCCAUGACAACAGAGCAAACUCCGUCUGCUGAUGAAGAUCAUGUGAUAUGAUGAAAAGCUCCAGUAGAACUACAAAAUGGACCUUG